rnacentral:rRNA from 1 species
UAUUGGCGUAAAGCGAGCGCAGGCGGUCUUUUAAGUCUAAUGUGAAAGCUUCGGCUCAACCGAAGAAGUGCAUUGGAAACUGGGAGACUUGAGUGCAGAAGAGGACAGUGGAACUCCAUGUGUAGCGGUGAAAUGCGUAGAUAUAUGGAAGAACACCAGUGGCGAAGGCGGCUGUCUGGUCUGCAACUGACGCUGAGGCUCGAAAGCAUGGGUAGCGAACAGGAUUAGAUACCCUGGUAGUCCAUGCCGUAAACGAUGAUUACUAAGUGUUGGAGGGUUUCCGCCCUUCAGUGCUGCAGCUAACGCAUUAAGUAAUCCGCCUGGGGAGUACGACCGCAAGGUUGAAACUCAAAAGAAUUGACGGGGGCCCGCACAAGCGGUGGAGCAUGUGGUUUAAUUCGAAGCUACGCGAAGAACCUUACCAGGUCUUGACAUCUUCUGACAGUCUAAGAGAUUAGAGGUUCCCUUCGGGGACAGAAUGACAGGUGGUGCAUGGUUGUCGUCAGCUCGUGUCGUGAGAUGUUGGGUUAAGUCCCGCAACGAGCGCAACCCUUAUUACUAGUUGCCAGCAUUAAGUUGGGCACUCUAGUGAGACUGCCGGUGACAAACCGGAGGAAGGUGGGGACGACGUCAAAUCAUCAUGCCCCUUAUGACCUGGGCUACACACGUGCUACAAUGGAUGGUACAACGAGUCGCGAGACCGCGAGGUUAAGCUAAUCUCUUAAAACCAUUCUCAGUUCGGACUGUAGGCUGCAACUCGCCUACACGAAGUCGGAAUCGCUAGUAAUCGCGGAUCAGCAUGCCGCGGUGAAUACGUUCCCGGGCCUUGUACACACCGCCCGUCACACCAUGAGAGUUUGUAACACCCAAAGCCGGUGGGGUAACCUUUUAGGAGCUAGCCGUCUAAGGUGGGACAGAUGAUUAGGGUGAAGUCGUACAAGA